UCACACACAGCCACGCCUCUUUGUCCUUCUUUUUCCCCUUUUCCAUUUCAAGGAAAGGUCCAAGCUCUUCUCAGCCAUGGCCAUUUUCAUACAAGUUUUUUUUCUCUCUCUUCACCUCAACGUUCGGAUUAGAAUGAGUUGACUCAAUCUCGAAUCUUUUUAAUUUCAAAAUCCCGCCCAAACGAAACCCUAGAGUUUCAACUUCACCUAUAAAUUUAUCUCAAGAGCUCAGCCGCGGAGGAGAAGAACUCUACUGGUGAUGCAGAUCCUUGCUCUCUAUUUUUUUUUUUACAGUUUCUCACUUUAUUUAUCCCACAAGAAAUACGAAAACUUUAGUUCGCUAGUACCCUCAACACUUUCAUUCGAACUUAUUUGGCUCAAGGUUCGGAUCUGUUCAUAACGAGAGAGUAGAUUCGAGGCCUCGACGUCCUAGUUCGCUGCACCCAUAAGAGCCAAAGAGUCCACUCCGAGACUCGACGUAGCUGCUGGAACUAGAACACACAUCUUCUCCUCAUUUUCCUUCCAUCUACUUCUCUCGCCCUAACUAUAUCCGAGCGGAAAUUCGAAAGAGGGCGAGGGGAAUAAUGAAUAUUCUGUUACAUUCCGCUACUAAGUGUUUUGCUUUGUAUUGUGAAUGUUCUUUUUGAUGUUGGUUUUGGUUCAGGUGCUUAGGAAAGUCUACAGUUGAUCUAGAAUUACUCACUUGGUAAAAUUAGCAUUUCUUGAACAGAGAUAGGACUUGACAUUUCGAUAUGUGAACCUAGCCACAUUAAGUUCGACUA